rnacentral:rRNA from 1 species
CACGUAGGGCGCAAGCGUUGUCCGGAAUUAUUGGGCGUAAAGAGCUCGUAGGCGGUCUGUUGCGUCCGCUGUGAAAACUCGGGGCUUAACCCCGAGCCUGCAGUGGAUACGGGCAGACUAGAGGUAGGUAGGGGAGAAUGGAAUUCCCGGUGUAGCGGUGAAAUGCGCAGAUAUCGGGAGGAACACCGGUGGCGAAGGCGGCUUCCUGGACCGGCAUUGACGCUGAGGCGCGAAAGCCAGGGGAGCAAACGGG